rnacentral:rRNA from 1 species
AGUGAACGCUGACGGUAGGCCUAACACAUGCAAGUCGAACGGCAGCACAGUAAGAGCUUGCUCUUACGGGUGGCGAGUGGCGGACGGGUGAGGAAUACAUCGGAAUCUACUUUUUCGUGGGGGAUAACGUAGGGAAACUUACGCUAAUACCGCAUACGACCUACGGGUGAAAGCAGGGGAUCUUCGGACCUUGCGCGAUUGAAUGAGCCGAUGUCGGAUUAGCUAGUUGGCGGGGUAAAGGCCCACCAAGGCGACGAUCCGUAGCUGGUCUGAGAGGAUGAUAAGCGACACUGGAACUGAGACACGGUCCAGACUCCUACGGGAGGCAGAAGUGGGGAAUAUUGGACAAUGGGCGCAAGCCUGAUCCAGCCAUACCGCGUAGGUGAAGAAGGCCUUCGGGUUGUAAAGCCCUUUUGUUGGGAAAGAAAAGCAGCAGGUUAAUACCCCGCUGUUCUGACGGUACCCAAAGAAUAAGCACCGGCUAACUUCGUG